AGUGCUUGGCCAUUAAGAAAUCUGAUUUUCUCCUCUCAUUUGAGGCUUGGCCGAGAGAAGAGAAAUGGCAGCGAGAGAGAGAGGGAGCUCGGGGCUGGGCGUGCGAUUGCAAGCGAGAGAGAUCGCGAGUGAGAGCUUGCGAGAGAGAAAUGCUGGCCGGAUGUGCUAACCGAAGGCAGCAACCAUGGCUACCGUUUGAUGGCCGAAAUAGAGAAUGAGAGACAGAGAGAGAGGGAGCCUGGCCGAAGAUCGUGAGAAGCCGAGAGAGAGAGAGCUUGUAGGAGAGAGUGAGAGAGAGAUCAGGAGAUGGAGAGAUGGCCAGCUAAGAGGCUGCGUGAUGCAGCGACGGCUAUGGAAGCAGCAACGGCAGCGAGCAGAAGCGGCCAUGGCGGAUGUGGCUUCUGUCGAUGCUCCGAACAGCAAGGAAGGAGGCAUCAGCAACUCGGAUGAUGGCAAUCGGCCGUGAUCGUGGCGUCCAGCGAUGACGCGGGUGCUGGCUUGGCUAAUGUGGGUGGCUGGAAUAGCCAUGGCCGCCUUGCGCGCAGGUGGCUGCUCGCGGCGUGGGGGCAGCUUGAGGCGGUGGCGGCCGGUCAACGAGUGGCGUGGUUGCGUGAAGCAGCAGUUGGUGGCGAGCUGGUGGCAGCGGCGACCGGCGUGCGUAGCCGAGCUGCUGUGCGCGGGUGCUUGAGAAGAAGCCGAGUGUGCGCGAGAAAUGGAGAAGGAAUAAGACAGUGAACAGUGGAGGAAGAAAAUAAAGAAAAUAAAGGGAAAAGAAAAUAAAGAAAUAUGGAAAAUUCUGGAAAAUAGGAGAAAAUCCUGAAAAAUUUCAGAAAAUUUGGGAAAAGUCCCAGAAGCUCGAGAAUGGGAUUUCGGGCAUGAGACGGCAGCUCGAGAAGCAACGUCAGCGUGGGCGUUUGGCCGAUUUUUCCUUCCAAAUUGAAUGAGGUCCGACCGGGGAGACGGUGAUCCUAGAAGAGCUCGGUGUUCGGGCUGGAGUUCGUGCUGAGGCAGAGUUGAGGCUUCGAGCCAGAUUUGGGCCGCAAAUUUGAGCUAUUUCGAUAGAGGCGCAAGUGGGCUUCGCAAAGUGGACGGACAUCGAGUUUGAAAGAGGCAACCAUACUUCAUUAUGGGUUAUGGGCGAAUUUAGAAUUCAUUGGGCUUUUUUAAUUAAUUAAAUUAUGGGCCAUAUGUAAUAAACAAUCCCUAAGCCCAUUUAGCCUAGGUUUUGCUUUUCCAAAACCCUAUAAAUAAGAGCUAGCAAAGAGGCAAUUGUGUGGCCGAUUUUGGAGGAUUUUCACCGCUUCUAUGGAAGGCUAAUUUGCUUGUAAUCUGCUACAUCCCAUACCCCUUGCCCGGUUUGAGUCUCGGUCAUGUAGUCGAAUCCGGUUUGGAACUCGAUUUUCAUGUUCUUAUUGAUUUCGUUUCUUUUC